rnacentral:rRNA from 1 species
GGGCCUGCACAAGCGGUGGAGCAUGUGGUUUAAUUCGAUGAUACGCGAGGAACCUUACCAGGGCUUAAAUGUAACGGGACAGAUCUAGAGAUAGAUCCUUCUUCGGACUCAUUACAAGGUGCUGCAUGGUUGUCGUCAGCUCGUGCCGUGAGGUGUCAGGUUAAGUCCUAUAACGAGCGCAACCCCCAUCGUUAGUUGCCAACGAGUAAUGUCGGGAACUCUAACGAAACUGCCGGUGCAAACCGUGAGGAAGGUGGGGGAUGACGUCAAAUCAUCACGGCCCUUACGUCCUGGGCUACACACGUGCUACAAUGGUCGGUACAGAGAGCAGCCACUACGCGUAAGU